CUCAAUCAAUCCAAAUUUUUCAAUAACCUCACAAGUUAACUUCUAAUUUAUACAAAAUAUUGCCCAACUAUCAAAUCAUCAACAAAAAAUGGAAACAAACCAAGUUAGAAUUGAAAUUCAUUCAUUCAAUAAUACAAAGUUCAAAAAGCCAAGUUUACAACUAUUACAACCAACUACAUAUACACAUUUCAACAAACGAGCUAUCUGCUUUUACGAAAUGCAUUACACCUAAUAAAAUUAGAGCAUUUUCAACCCCUAUUCCAUUGAUCAAUGCUAAGACACAAGUGAUCUCCACAUUUACUGUGAUGGCUCAUGGGCAUACUAUCGAUCUCCAUUCUAUUAGUAACCAUUAUAUCAUUUUCAUUUCUAUUAUCAGCCCCACCAGCAAUGACCUUGUAAGAACGUUCUGCCUCUUCCUUUUCCUUGUUCCAUUGUUCAAUCUAUCUUCCUAAACAGGACUGCAAUCCCUCCUUCCACCUGGGCUCUUGCUUCUACCCCUCUUAAGACUUUGAAUUGUAACUUGCGCCUCCUCGUGCGACCUUUAUUGAAAUCGUGAGAAUCAUAUCUCCUAUUAAGACUGUGAUAGCCAUGAGAGCUGUCUUCCAUCCAUGAAAAUCAUAUCUCCUACCGUGACUUCUACCUCUGCUUCCCUUCUAUUGCGAGUAGUUCAAUUUUUGAAUUGGGUUUUGAACCCACAUCUUCCAAUUAAAGGUUUGGGGUUUGGAAUUAAGGGUUUGAAUAAGGGGUAUUGACAUUGAGAUUUGGAUUCAUGGUCUAGAAUUAAAGCGUGUUGCCAUUGAGAAUUGGAAAUCAUGUUUGGCAGAUGCAUUUUUGGUGAG
rnacentral:lncRNA from 1 species